rnacentral:rRNA from 1 species
UACAGAGGUCCCGAGCGUUGUUCGGAUUCAUUGGGCGUAAAGGGUGCGUAGGCGGGUCUUUAAGUCAGGGGUGAAAUCCUGGAGCUCAACUCCAGAACUGCCUUUGAUACUGAAGAUCUUGAGUGCGGGAGAGGUGAGUGGAACUGCGAGUGUAGAGGUGAAAUUCGUAGAUAUUCGCAAGAACACCAGUGGCGAAGGCGGCUCACUGGCCCGAUACUGACGCUGAGGCACGAAAGCGUGGGGAGCAAACAGG